rnacentral:rRNA from 1 species
UACGUAGGGUGCGAGCGUUGUCCGGAAUUACUGGGCGUAAAGAGCUCGUAGGUGGUUUGUCGCGUUGUUCGUGAAAUCUCACGGCUUAACUGAGAGCGUGCGGGCGAUACGGGCAGACUAGAGUACUGCAGGGGAGACUGGAAUUCCUGGUGUAGCGGUGAAAUGCGCAGAUAUCAGGAGGAACACCGGUGGCGAAGGCGGGUCUCUGGGCCGAUACUGACGCUGAGGAGCGAAAGCGUGGGGAGCGAACAGG